rnacentral:rRNA from 1 species
CCUUACCUGGCCUUGACAUACUAAGAACUUUCCAGAGAUGGAUUGGUGCCUUCGGGAACUUAGAUACAGGUGCUGCAUGGCUGUCGUCAGCUCGUGUCGUGAGAUGUUGGGUUAAGUCCCGCAACGAGCGCAACCCUUUCCUAUUUGCCAGCGGGUUAAGCCGGGAACUUUAAGGAUACUGCCAGUGACAAACUGGAGGAAGGCGGGGACGACGUCAAGUCAUCAUGGCCCUUACGGCCAGGGCUACACACGUGCUACAAUGGUCGGUACAAAGGGUUGCUACCUCGCGAGAGGAUGCUAAUCUCAAAAAGCCGAUCGUAGUCCGGAUCGCAGUCUGCAACUCGACUGCGUGAAGUCGGAAUCGCUAGUAAUCGCGGAUCAGAAUGCCGCGGUGAAUACGUUCCCGGGCCUUGUACACACCGCCCGUCACACCAUGGGAGUUUGUUGCACCAGAAGUAGGUAGUCUAACCGCAAGGAGGACGCUUACCACGGUGUGGCCGAUGACUGGGGUGAAGUCGUAACAAGGUAGGCGUAGAUGA